GCUAUUGAAGAUAAUGUAGCUACUAACUUGGCAAGGGAUAUGUUUGAAUGAAAGUUUGUACAAAAUUUUACCAAAGAUUUCAUAUGGAAAGACAACCACUAAUAAUAAUUAGUAGAGGCAGAGCUUUGUACUGAAGUUGGAAUUGUUACCAGAGAUAUACUCGAUAGCUCAUGGACCAUGACUAUCACUAUCAGUCGCCAUGCCCAAAAAGAAAAAGGCAUAAAUUACAGGCUUGUGGAUGGUGCUAAUUCUAUGCUACUGUUUUUAUAUAUUAGAUGGUGCUACUUCUAUGCUACUGAUUUUAUUUUGAGGCUUUUAUGUAAUUAGAUGAUAUUGAAAUAUUAAAGUUGUAUUAUUUUACUUUUUAAAGAAAAACAAUAAUAGUUAUGUAGAACAAUAUUAUAUGGAAUUGUGUUUGGAACUAUUGACAUUGAGAAUAUUUUUAUAUAUAGAGUUAU